UUAAUUGAGGGUAAUCAUAGAAGUAUCAGUUAUGAUGACUUUUCUUUAAGGUACUUUAUAUAUUUCAUGUUUGUUGAAUCACACAGUAGAAGUCAAUCAGUAAACUAAUCUGUAUGUAAUUUCCCUCCACAGCUUUGCCCACAGCUACAGUAACUGUAGAGUCUCCUAAGGAUCCAUACUACCCUGGAGAUAAGGUCACUCUGAGGUGUGUCAUAGCAGAGCACACAGACUGGGAUCAGUAUAACUGGUACAGAGACGAGGUUUCCAUUCAAAAUGAGGAAAGUCAACAACAUAAUAGUCAAUCCAUCACCAUUUCCCUCCCUGAUCAAGCUGGCUUGUACCAGUACACAUGUGAAUGGAGUAGUAGAAAUAGUCCAAAGACUUCCCAGCGCAGUACUCCUGCCUCUAUCACUGUAAAAGCUCUGCCCACAGCUACAGUAACUGUAGUGUCUCCUGAGGAUCCAUACUACCCUGGAGAUGUGGUCACUCUGAGGUGUGACAUAGCAGAGCACACAGACUGGCAUGGGUAUUACUGGUACAGAAACAGAUAUUCCAUUCAAAAUAGGAGAAGUCGAGCCAUCACCAUUUCCCUCCCUGAUCAAGCUGGCUUGUACCAGUACACAUGUGAAGGGAGUAGCAGAAAUAGUCCAAAGACUUCCCAGCGCAGUACUCCUGCCUCUAUCACUGUAAAAGCCCUCCCAGUGCCUACAUUGACAGUAAAACCCAAUCCUGUGUUCACUGGAGAAUCAGUCACUCUGACAUGUGGAAUACAGCCUUCAACUGGCUGG